GCGGGACUAGUAUAGUGGUAGUACACGAUCUUGCCAAGAUCGAAGCGCGAGUUCGAUUCUCGUGUCCCGCUCAA
rnacentral:tRNA from 1 species